GCAGCCCUGGACAGUAUUAAAAC
rnacentral:piRNA from 1 species